AUCAGCUGGAAAGCACGAGAAAUACAUGGACUCACCAUGGGGAGAUACACGUUCCUGAGAUCUCACUUUGUAUCUGAUGUCUGCUUGACACUAAACUGUUGCUAUGCUGAUUCCACUCCAUUUGGCUGUUCAUUGCGAUGAAUAUAUGGGGGCUGUAUUUCCAAAUGUCCUGGGCACCCACAGCACUAAGAUCUGACCACCAGCUAGAUCCACCAGGCCUUGGAGUCCCUUGUAAAGCUAUGCUGAGAUGUUUGACAGAGAAUCUCAUCCUGACAAAACCCCAAGUCCCUGCAGAGUUACUACGGGGUGAGAAGAAACCUGAUGUGGAGGUGUUAAAGCAUCAUCGCUUUUGAAACUGCCUCUGGUGUGUGAGCUGAUGGGAGACCAAAAGUUAUCUACGGGAGUCCUUAAUGUACCGGGAUGACCUAAAAAAGUGAUACUGCAAAACAAGAAAAUGGAAGUGUGCAACUCUCAAUGAGGACAGCUGGCAUCCCUCCUUUUCCCAUGAAAUGAGGCACACCUGGUAAAAGUGUUGCGCAUUCUG
rnacentral:lncRNA from 1 species